UCUGGUCGAUUAGCUCAGUUGGUUAGAGCGUGGUGCUAAUAUGUCUGUUCCUUAACGAAGGCACGACAGAAACGCCAAGGUCGCGAGUUCGACGUAAGUCUCUAUCGAGAA